rfam:Fervidicoccus fontis Kam940, complete genome.
GCCGCGGUAGUAUAGCCUGGCCUAGUAUGCGGGCCUGUCGAGCCCGUGACCCGGGUUCAAAUCCCGGCCGCGGCG